rnacentral:rRNA from 1 species
AGAGUUUGAUCCUGGCUCAGGAUAAACGCUGGCGGCGCACAUAAGACAUGCAAGUCGAACGGACUUAAUCGAAAUAUUUAUAUUUUGAAGCGGUUAGUGGCGGACUGGUGAGUAACGCGUAAGGAACCUGCCUAUUAGAGGGGAAUAACAGUGAGAAAUCAUUGCUAAUACCGCAUAUGCCAUAGAUAUCACAUGAUAACAGUGGGAAAGGAGCAAUCCGCUAAUAGAUGGCCUUGCGUCUGAUUAGAUAGUUGGUGGGGUAACGGCCUACCAAGUCGACGAUCAGUAGCCGGACUGAGAGGUUGAACGGCCACAUUGGGACUGAGAUACGGCCCAGACUCCUACGGGAGGCAGCAGUCGGGAAUAUUGCGCAAUGGAGGAAACUCUGACGCAGUGACGCCGCGUAUAGGAAGAAGGUUUUCGGAUUGUAAACUAUUGUCGUUAGGGAAGAGAAAGGACAGUACCUAAGGAGGAAGCUCCGGCUAACUACGUGCCAGCAGCCGCGGUAAUACGUAGGGAGCGAGCGUUAUCCGGAAUUAUUGGGUGUAAAGGGUGCGUAGACGGGAGAACAAGUUAGUUGUGAAAUACCUCGGCUCAACUGAGGAACUGCAACUAAAACUGUACUUCUUGAGUGCAGGAGAGGUAAGUGGAAUUCCUAGUGUAGCGGUGAAAUGCGUAGAUAUUAGGAGGAACACCAGUGGCGAAGGCGACUUACUGGACUGUAAUUGACGUUGAGGCACGAAAGUGUGGGGAGCAAACAGGAUUAGAUACCCUGGUAGUCCACACCGUAAACGAUGGAUACUAGGUGUAGGAGGUAUUAAGCCUUCUGUGCCGUCGCAAACGCAGUAAGUAUCCCACCUGGGGAGUACGGCCGCAAGGUUGAAACUCAAAGGAAUUGACGGGGGCCCGCACAAGCAGUGGAGUAUGUGGUUUAAUUCGAAGCAACGCGAAGAACCUUACCAGGGCUUGACAUCCUGCGACGAUGCUGGAAACAGUAUUUUCCUUCGGGACGCAGAGACAGGUGGUGCAUGGUUGUCGUCAGCUCGUGUCGUGAGAUGUUGGGUUAAGUCCCGCAACGAGCGCAACCCUUACUGUCAGUUACUACGCAAGAGGACUCUGGCAGGACUGCCGUUGACAAAACGGAGGAAGGUGGGGAUGACGUCAAAUCAUCAUGCCCUUUAUGACUUGGGCUACACACGUACUACAAUGGCGUUAAACAAAGAGAAGCAAGACCGCGAGGUGGAGCAAAACUCAGAAACAACGUCCCAGUUCGGACUGCAGGCUGCAACUCGCCUGCACGAAGUCGGAAUUGCUAGUAAUCGUGGAUCAGCAUGCCACGGUGAAUACGUUCCCGGGCCUUGCACACACCGCCCGUCA